UCCAGCCUCUAAAUUUGAACAGGAGGGAGACGAGGUGACUGAGCAGACUUUUGUUGCUGCUUUCUCUCCCCGACUCUCUCCUUCCCGCUCGCCCUCGCUCUCUCUCACAACAUAUUAUUUUUCCCCUCCUCCCUCCAUUAGUGAGUGUGUGUGGAGAGAUUUGCGUUUUGCUAUGGAAGAGCAAGAGGAGGUGCAGAAUUUCAGCUAGAGAAAGACACAACAAGGGAGAAGAGAAGUAAAGAAAAUAGGAGGAAGAGGACAAGAAGUGGGACAAAAAGGCAAGAGAGAGCCCACGUUUCUCCUGCUCUCCCCCGCUCCCUCCUCCGCCAACGAGUUUUACCUCAAAAAGAGCAGAGGGACCAACUUCAAAAGGCAGUCAGGAGGGAGCUGGAGUGUGAAACGUGAGGAGAGAAGAAGAUGAGAGGCUGACCGGAGCUGUGCUUGCUGUGCUGUCCAGGACACAAGCAGAGCCCUGGAUCCACAGGUGACUCCUGGCAGUAAUGGGAGUGUUCGUGGAAGAACUCGCUCCUGAAGGCCCGUGAGAGGACACACAAAAGCCUUUUAGACCAGGUCAGGACAUGUCGGGGAACAGUUCAUGAACAUGAGACGCAUAUAACAACCAGCUGCCCACACGCCGUGUAGACAUCUUUCUUUUAUGGCUUAUAGUUUGACCAGGACAUGCGUGUGAUCUGUGACAGUAGGAGCUGCUUUUUAAUGCUUCACAUGUCUCUGUAAUGUAAACAUGUAAAUAAAGUAUUAAUGAAAUGUCCUUGUUUUCUGUUCUUUGACGAAAUGUACCAACGUUUUAACAUUUAUGGGAAAUGAAGAAUGCUAACACAGACAUGCUAGUGUUAGCUAACGGUUUUUCUUAUUCAUAUAUAAAACUUAUUCACUGUGUUGGGCGAUUUCUAGUUUUCUGCUUCAAACUUCAGUAUAAUUGUUGGCAUGCAAACACUAGCAUGCAGUAUUUUGUGAGCAGUGCAGUGUUUAAGAUAUGAGUGCUAACGUACCCCAGUAUCUUUGGUCACAUGUCAACAUGGUUAACAGUCCAACACCACACGUGGUGAAUUUUUAUACACUUUGAAAAAAUGUCUAGUCCGGUUUAAGCACAAUGCAACACAGUAUCUUUAAGUGGUACUGCUAAAACUGUGAUAUAUGCAGUGUACUAGUACCUCCAACCUAAUAGUAACAAUAUUCUCAAAAAAUAUACUAUUAAAUUUGAUACGUAGGUCACAGGAGAAUCCUCACGUUCCUCCGGUCCAUGCAGCAUAGUUCAUUCUACCUCAUCCUGCCUCCCCAUCCUUACUGAUUCACCACAUUUCCAAGAAGUACUUUGAACACCCCGAGAGUUCUGUCUGGACUUGUUACUUCCACAUAGCUGUUGGUUUAAUAUUGGACGGUGAUAACGAGACGGAUUAUGGACACAUAAAGCUUCUUUUGCAGAAGGAUUAGUGAGUGCAAAGAUGGUAUGAGAGUACACUGGGCCUGUACCUUCUCCAGAGUUCAUCCUAUGGUUGGUGAAAUCAGAUCAUAGCUAUAGCUUCACACACACACAUACAGGGAAGAUGAUGCUGUAAAUAAUAAUGUAUUUUUUGGGAAAAUCAAACAAUAUCAAUUUAGAAUAAAGGAACAUUUUUUUGUGUUCAUUGAAAUAAUCUUUGAAUAAAGUGACGCACUA